GAUGAACGCUAGCGGCAGGCUUAACACAUGCAAGUCGAGGGGUAACAUUGGAGCUUGCUUCAGAUGACGACCGGCGCACGGGUGCGCAACGCGUAUAGAAUCUACCUUGUACUGAGGGAUAGCCCAGAGAAAUUUGGAUUAAUACCUCAUGGUAUUAUUGAAUGGCAUCAUUUAAUAAUUAAAGGUUACGGUAUAAGAUGACUAUGCGUACCAUUAGCUAGAUGGUAAGGUAACGGCUUACCAUGGCAACGAUGGUUAGGGGCCCUGAGAGGGGGAUCCCCCACACUGGUACUGAGACACGGACCAGACUCCUACGGGAGGCAGCAGUGAGGAAUAUUGGACAAUGGAGGAGACUCUGAUCCAGCCAUGCCGCGUGCAGGAAGACGGUCCUAUGGAUUGUAAACUGCUUUUAUACAGGAAGAAUAAGAUCUACGUGUAGAUUGAUGACGGUACUGUAAGAAUAAGGAUCGGCUAACUCCG
rnacentral:rRNA from 1 species